rnacentral:misc_RNA from 1 species
UCUCCGUUGGUGAACCAGCGGAGGGAUCAUUACCGAGUUAUCAACUCCCAAACCCCUGUGAACAUACCUGAACGUUGCCUCGGCGGGACCGCCCCGGCGCCCAUCUCGCGGCCCGGAACCAGGCGCCCGCCGGAGGACCCAAACUCUUGCUUUGAACAGUGGCAUACUCUCUGAGUCUCACAAACAAAAAAUGAACCAAAACUUUCAACAACGGAUCUCUUGGCUCUG